AACGAACGCUGGCGGCAGGCUUAACACAUGCAAGUCGAACGGGCACCUUCGGGUGUCAGUGGCAGACGGGUGAGUAACGCGUGGGAACGUACCCUUCGGUUCGGAAUAACCCAGGGAAACUUGGGCUAACACCGGAUACGUCCGCAAGGAGAAAGAUUUAUCGCCGAAGGAUCGGCCCGCGUCGGAUUAGCUAGUUGGUGGGGUAAUGGCCCACCAAGGCGACGAUCCGUAGCUGGUCUGAGAGGAUGANCAGCCACACUGGGACUGAGACACGGCCCAGACUCCUACGGGAGGCAGCAGUGGGGAAUAUUGGACAAUGGGCGAAAGCCUGAUCCAGCCAUGCCGCGUGAGUGAAGAAGGCCUUAGGGUUGUAAAGCUCUUUCAGCGGGGAAGAUAAUGACGGUACCCGCAGAAGAAGUCCCGGCUAACUUCGUGCCAGCCGCCGCCGUAA
rnacentral:rRNA from 1 species